GUCUGGUGCCAGCAGCCGCGGUAAUUCCAGCUCCAACAGCGUAUAUUAAACUUGUUGCAGUUAAAAAGCUCGUAGUUGUAUUUUUGCGUUGACGGUUUGACCAUUUGGUUGGUUAUUUCGUUUUCGCUUUUGGGAAUUUCCCUUUUUACUUUGAGAAAAUUAGAGUGUUUCAAGCAGACUUUUGUCUUGAAUACUUCAGCAUGGAAUAAUAGAGUAGGACUUUGGUUCUAUUUUGUUGGUUAUUGAACCUUAGUAAUGGUUAAUAGGAACGG
rnacentral:rRNA from 1 species